rnacentral:rRNA from 1 species
UACGGAGGGGGCAAGCGUUAUUCGGAAUUAUUGGGCGUAAAGGGCGCGUAGGCGGCUAGAUGUGUCGAAGGUGAAAUCCCUCGGCUCAACUGAGGAACUGCCUUUGAAACUGUCUGGCUUGAGGCCGGGAGAGGGUAGCGGAAUUCUUGGUGUAGCGGUGAAAUGCGUAGAUAUCAAGAGGAACACCUGAGGUGAAGACGGGUUGCUGGGCUGACACUGACGCUGAGGCGCGUAAGCCAGGGGAGCAAACGGG